UAGGGAAUCUUCCGCAAUGGACGCAAGUCUGACGGAGCAACGCCGCGUGAGUGAAGAAGGAUUUCGGUUCGUAAAACUCUGUUGUUAGAGAAGAACAGCGCAUAGAGUAACUGUUAUGCGUGUGACGGUAUCUAACCAGAAAGCCACGGCUAACUACGUGCCAGCAGCCGCGGUAAUACGUAGGUGGCAAGCGUUGUCCGGAUUUAUUGGGCGUAAAGCGAGCGCAGGCGGUCAAUUAAGUCUGAUGUGAAAGCCCCCGGCUCAACCGGGGAGGGUCAUUGGAAACUGGUUGACUUGAGGGCAGAAGAGGAGAGUGGAAUUCCAUGGGUAGCGGUGAAAUGCGUAGAUAUAUGGAGGAACACCAGUGGCGAAGGCGACUCUCUGGUCUGUAACUGACGCUGAGGCUCGAAAGCGUGGGUAGCAAACAGG
rnacentral:rRNA from 1 species